UGAGAGCAAUGGGGGGUGGAACCUUCAAACAUUGGGAUAUACAUUUAGCAAAAGUCACCUGGUUAGUCAACAGCAGAAGAUCUGCCAAUUGGAGUGGUCCUGCCCAGUCAGAACUUUUACUUACUGUAGAAGGGGAUAAAGUCCCUGUAGUGCACAUAAAAAACAUGUUAGGGAAGACAGUGUGGGUUAGUCCUGCCUCAGGCAAGGGCAAACCCGUUCCUGGGAUUGCUUUUGCUCAAGGUCCUGGGUGCACUUGGUGACUGAUGAAGUGAUG